AAAUUAUAUAAAAAAAUAAGACAUUCUUCAAAAUAUAUGUUAACUCAAAAGCGUUCAAAUAUCAUAGCCUAAAUAUUACAACUUUUUUUAUUGAAUUUAUAAUUAUCCUAUGUGUGUGGAUCUAUUAAAAAACACACAGUUUUCAUAAUCAGUUUAUUUUAUUUGUCCACUACUAAUAAUGAACUAUUUUUAAAAUACAUUAAUAAACAUAAGAGAGAUAAAAGUGUAAAAAUAUCUAUCUAUCUAUCUAUCUAUCUGUCUGUCUGUCUGUCUGGCUGUCUGUCUGUCGGUCUGUCUGUCUGUCUGUCUGCUUGAUGAACUGCAAAUCCCAGAUGGCGUCGCGGGGGCGUGUCGUCACGUGACCUAAGCAAGGUGUUUUCACAUGAGCGCGCGGAGAGCAGAGGGCUCACAGAGGUCAGAGCUCAGAGUGCAGGCGGACCGCGGAGAAACACGCUCAGUUCAUCUACGGGAGGAUGGAGGUGGAGAACCGACCCAACGGAUUUGACUUCUCCAAACGGGACAACUUACUGGGCAGCGGUUUUUAUGAAGAGAACUCCCUUCAGGAAGACACAGAGGACAGCGGUGAGCGCUGGUGUCUGAUCUGUGGGGACCGGGCAUCCGGGCUGCACUAUGGCAUCAUUUCCUGUGAGGGGUGUAAGGGCUUCUUCAAACGCAGUAUUUGCAACAAGCGCAUCUACCGCUGCAACAGGGACAAGAACUGCCAGAUGUCCCGCAAGCAACGCAACCGCUGUCAGUACUGCAGACUGCAGAAAUGCCUUCAGAUGGGAAUGAACCGCAAGGCAAUCAGAGAAGACGGGAUGCCAGGAGGGAGAAACAAAAUGAUUGGGCCUGUACGGUCUGGCCAGGAGUUUAAAGAAGGAGCUGAACUAUCAGAUACGUGGAGCCACGGCUACAGUAACCACAGUUCACCUGGCAACAGUAUCUCCGAGGGCGGUCAAACCGUAUCUUUUUCCACGCUGUCAAGCAGCCGUUCUGUGGAUGUGAGCACAUACCCUGUGUCCUGUAGAGAUCAGUGCAACAGUCCUAAGCUGACACACUCUUUCCUGUUGUGUAAAUAUCCUUUACCGCCCUCUACUGGCAGCAGCCUGAAGGCGCAAUCGCACACACUGUCAGCCCAGCUACUCGCUGCUGAAGAUCUCACACCUCUCACUACACCCAUGGUCAUAGAAGAGGGGUAUAAUGUGACUCAGUCGGAGCUGUUGGCUCUGCUGUGCCGUAUAGCUGAUGAGCUGUUAUUCAGACAGAUUGUCUGGCUGAAGCGUUUACCCUUCUAUAGCAAUCUGUCCAUCAAAGACUGCACUCGUUUACUGGGGGCUUCCUGGCAUCAGCUCAUCCUGCUCUCUUCGCUCACUGUGCACAGCGGACAGAUACUGGGAGAACUGGCCAACAUCACACACCAGUACACACCGUCCAGCCUAACAUUACAGGGGUUUGGUGAGGGUGCUAUGGAGGUCAUGGAGAGUUUAAAUUUUCUCUUCCGUAAGUUUCAGCAACUAAAUAUCAGCAAUGAGGAGUACAGCUGCUUAAAGACCAUCACCCUGCUCAAUCAAGAUAUGGCAGGUUUGUGCAACACGUCCACACUGGAACAGUUGAGUGAACGUUACUGGUCCGUGUGUCGUGACCUGACAGAACGACUCCACCCUCGUCGACCCAAACGCUUCUCUGACAUCAUCACCUGCCUUUCCGAGAUACGCCACACCUCAGGUAAGAUGAUGGCCAUUCCACUGGAGCAGCUCCCACUGCUGUUUAAGGCGGUACUGUACUCCUCCUUUGGAAAACCACAAACUCUUUGA
ensembl:lncRNA